rnacentral:rRNA from 1 species
CCUACGGGUGGCAGCAGUGGGGAAUAUUGGGCAAUGGACGCAAGUCUGACCCAGCAACACCGCGUGAAGGAAGAAGGCUUUCUGGUUGUAAACUUCUUUUAAUGGGGAAGAGCAGAAGACGGUACCCCUUGAAUAAGCCACGGCUAACUACGUGCCGGCAGCCGCGGUAAUACGUCGGUGGCAUGCGUUGUCCGGAGUUACUGGGUGUAAAGGGCGGGCAGCCGGAGAGACAAGUCCGAUGUGAAAACCACGGGCUCAACCCGUGAACUGCAUUUGAAACUGUUUCCCUGGAGUGUCGGAGAGGUAAUCGGAAGUCCUUGUGUAGCGGUGAAAUGCGUAGAUAGAAGGAAGAACACCAGUGGCGAAGGCGGAUUACUGGACGAUAACUGACGGUGAGGCGCGAAAGCGUGGGGAGCAAACAGGAUUAGAUACCCCAGUAGUC